rnacentral:snRNA from 1 species
GUGCUUGCUUUGGCAGCACAUAUACUAAGACUGGAAUGAUACAGAAAAGAUUAGCAUGCCCCUGCUCAAGAAUAACACACAAAUUCAUGAAGCAUUUCAUAUUUUU